AUGGCGCGAGGACACGGGGACGGGCGGGACCCCCGGCACGGCGGGACCCCCGGCCCGGCCCGGCCGCAGCUGCCGCUGCUGGGGUGGGAGGGCGAGGGGGUCCUACAGCCCCCGGGGCGGCUCCGCGUCCAUCGGGCCUGCGGGGAGCGGGGGGUAGCGCGGGGACCCCCGGCCACGGACGCUCCACGGCCCUGGGUCCUCCCAAGGACUCGGCAUCCCCUCACAGCCCUGUCACGGACCCGGGGAGCGUUCCGCAGCACCAGCAUCCCCCCCCCGGCUCCCCCGGGAGGGGGAGACACCCCCCCCCCCAGCACCAGAAUCCCCCUCAGCCCCCGGCAUCCCACACUGCCCCCGCCGCACGGCCCCGGGUCUCCCCCCAGUCCCCUCCACGGCCACAAUCCCCCGGCGUCACCCCGCGACUCCCCCGCACCUGCCCCACGGCCCUGCCAGGGGAGAUCCCACGGGGACCCCGCACCCACGGACCUCCCCCGCUCUCCCCCGGCCCAGGCCUGCGGGGUCUCCACGGGCCUCAGCCCCCAUCGCCCCCCAUCACUCCCCGCAGCGCAGCGGGGCCGGCCCGCGCCCCUCCCCGGCUCUGUGCCCCCACUGCCGGUACCUGCGGCGGCGGCUCCGCUGCCGGGGGUCGCGGGGGGGAGGGUGGGGGGCUCGGGGCCGCGUCACUUCCGCUUCCGGCCGGCGGGGGGACAGCGCCGCCUCCCGCGCCGGCGCCAGCACCGCGCGGGACCCCCGAGAUCUCUCCGGACCCUCCCCGGCCCGCACCACCGGAUACCCCCGAGACCCCCGAGUACCCCCCGAGACCGGGAGCCCAGGCCUUGCCGGCGGCGGGCAGCUCGGUCCGGCCCUGGGUGGCAGUGGGAACCGGGCGGAGCGGGGGACCUUCCCCCCGGGGUACUCCCGGCACUGACUGUGUCCGCCCCACUGUUCCGGGCGGGCAGCAGGACCGCCGGUGCCAUGCGUGCCCCGGACCAGUUCAGCCCAGUUACCCCUACCGGAGCCCCCCGAGGCACCGGCACCGCCGGGUUCCACCGCGCUGCCCCCACACUGGCACCGGGACGGGGUCGGGGGCAGCACUGGGACCCCCUGCGGCUGCUGUGCCCCUGGAACCCCCUGAACGCUCGGUUGGACCGGGAGGGUCUCGAGGCUCCCAGCUCUUCCCAGCCCCGGAGUGGCAGCACUGUGGGGCUCAGGGGGUCCAAGCGGGAGCAGCGGUGGUGGCACAGGUUGUGCGGCGUCCCUGCGCCCCGUAUGGACCAGUCUGAUCCUUACAGAAUCGCAGAGUCAUUUAGUUUGAUACAACCCCCAAGACUGAGUCCAGCCUGUCCCCGAUGCCCACCUCCAGCCCUUGCUGGGACACCUCCAGGGAUGGGCACUCCAAACCUCCCUGGGCAGCCCCUUCCAGCCCCUUCCAUGAAGAAAUUCCUCCUGAUGCCCAACCUGACCCUACCCAAGCACAGCUUGCGGCCGUUUCCUCGUCUGUCACUUGUUUCCUGGGAAGGUCCCCCCUGA
rnacentral:lncRNA from 1 species